rnacentral:rRNA from 1 species
GAUGAACGCUAGCUACAGGCUUAACACAUGCAAGUCGAGGGGAAACGACAUCGGAAGCUUGCUUUUGAUGGGCGUCGACCGGCGCACGGGUGAGUAACGCGUAUCCAACCUGCCCACCACUUGGGAAUAACCUUGCGAAAGUAAGACUAAUACCCAAUGACGUCUCUAGAAGACAUCUGAAAGAGAUUAAAGAUUUAUCGGUGAUGGAUGGGGAUGCGUCUGAUUAGCUUGUUGGCGGGGUAACGGCCCACCAAGGCGACGAUCAGUAGGGGUUCUGAGAGGAAGGUCCCCCACAUUGGAACUGAGACACGGUCCAAACUCCUACGGGAGGCAGCAGUGAGGAAUAUUGGUCCAAUGGACGAGAGUCUGAACCAGCCAAGUAGCGUGCAGGAUGACGGCCCUAUGGGUUGUAAACUGCUUUUAUAGGGGGAUAAAGUGUGCCACGUGUGGCAUAUUGCAGGUACCCUAUGAAUAAGGACCGGCUAAUCCGUGCCAGCAGCCG